rnacentral:snRNA from 1 species
UCCCAAAUGCUCAUGAUCUG